rnacentral:tRNA from 1 species
UCCCUGGUAGCUCAGAUGGUAAAGCGUCUGCCUACAAUGCAGGAGACCCGGGUUCGAUCCCUGGGUUGGGAA